CCGCCGGCCGCCGCCGGAGUGGGCGGCGCCGCCGCGUGCGGACUUGGAGGAGUCGUCGUCGUCGUCGGUGGGGAGCUGGAAGCGGCAGACGGGGCAGGAGCUGUGCAUCUUGAGCCACGGCACGAUGCACUUGGCGUGGAACCUGUGCCGGCACGGCAUUUCCGUGGCGCGCUCGCCGGCGGCGUAGUCCUCGAGGCAGACGGCGCAGGCGGAGUCGCAGUCGCCCCCGGCGGCCACCUCCACCGUCGGCAUGGACUCCACGGCCUCCUUCUUGGCCGGGAGCGUGCCCUGCCGCCCCGCGUCGCCGUCCCGACGACGGCGCCGGCCUCGGCCGCGGCGGCGGAGAUCGUGGCGGUGGCGGACUCGAGGCGCUGGAGCUGGCGCUCCCGAAACUCCUGCAUGAGCAGCAGCAGCGCGGCGGUGCGCCGCCGGCUCUCGGAGAAGUCGAGGAGGGCCAGGUCGCGGUAGUAGCCGUCGUCCGCGCCGGCGGCGUCCGCGAGGCGACGGCUGCGGCGGUGGCGGCGGACGGCGUCGCCGCCGCCGCCGCCAACCAUGCCGUCGAUGAUGGGGGCCCAGACGGAGGAGAUCGCGCCGCCGCCGCCGG
rnacentral:sRNA from 1 species